UUUUAACUCCAUGGCAAGGGUGAGGAAAGGGAAGGGACUUGAUCAAGGUCACAUAGGAAGUGGCAGAGCUGGGACCCACACCCAGAUCUGUCUCCCUCUAGACUCACUCUCCUGCCCUUUGGGAACAAAUGAGGCAUGGAAGGUAGAAGAGAGGCAUUGUUUGGAGCUCUGCUGGAAAGUUCUGGUUGGAGAGAAUAAAAACCGUUCAGCCUUCUGGGAGCUAUUUUGCUGGUUUGGUUUGGGACGUUUGGUCUUCAUCUUUGCAGUGUCAGGUGCCCACCUCAGCUGUGGGCCUGGUGAUAGUGCCUCAGUCAUCAGUGUCCUCAGGUGACCUGUUGCCCAAGGCUGCAAUGGGAGGAGGGACUGGGCCGAGGAGGAGUUGGUUUUCCCACACAGCCGAGAUGGCCUGGAGCAGGGCUUCCUGCUGCCUGCUCUGGCUUCCUCCGGCAGGCGGCAUUGUAGUCCAGGAGUCUCUGGGCCACCAGGUGUUCGCUGCCAGACUGCUCUUCAAGGAUAGUUUUAAGGGCAUCAUUUUCCAAGCAGUAGCCCCUAAGCGGCCCCAGUCCAGGCCAUGGUCUCUAGACUCCUCCACCAAGCCAUUCCCCUACACAACAGCCAGGGGGCGACCUGACCUCCCAGCUCUCCUUGGCCUGAGACCCACCGGGCACUCUGGUGCUUGGAACAGCAGUUCUCACCCACCUUGAGGUUUAUGGGCUUUAGCACCAUCAGCUUCCCUGCCACUCACCCUGGCAAGCUGCGUGGAGACUAGAGGACAGUGCUUGCUGCUGGGUAAACUCCCUGCAUGAUGUGGCCUCACCUGCAUCUCCAGCCUUAGCUGCCAGCAUUCCAUCACCGUGUUUCUCCUUCCGCAUCCUCCAGGAGGGCGCAGUCACUUCAGUUAUGGGACAUGCUGCACAGUUUUAUGCCUGUCACUUAGCUUAAGCUGUUCCCUCAGCCUGGAGUGCCCACCUCUUCUUUCUAUGCCUGCCUAACCCUCUUCCUUCAGACUGGACCCAGGUGUCACCUCCAGGAAGCCUUCUCACACCCCAUCUUAGUCCAUUCUGGCUGCCAUAACAAAAUCUCAUCAAUUGGGCAUCUUAGAAACAACAGAAAUGUAUUUCUCACAGUUCUGAAGACUGGACAGUCCUGGGUGCAGGUGCUGGUAGAGUCAGUGUCUGGUGAGGGCCUGAGGUGCCUUUCCACUGUGUCCCCCACAUGGUGGAGGGGUGAGGGGUCUCCCUCAGGGCUCUUUUAUAAGGACACGGGUUGCAUUCGUGAGAGCUAAUCACCCCAUGGCCUAAUCACCUCCCAAAGGCCCCACCUCCUCAUACCAUCACCUUGGGGGUUAAGAUUUCAACAUAUGAACUUGGGGACACAGACUUUCAGAGCAUAGCACCCCCAAUUUCAUUCCAUAUCCCCCCAGGAUCCCCCAUGGCCCUGGCCACCUCACCCUGUGUCACAGUUGACUGCCACAUAACACUUGCCCCAGAUCUGGCUUAGUGUACACCUCAGCAUCCAGGUCAGGCCCGGGCACGGGGCAGGCCUCAGAGGACGUGCGUAGAGCUGAGGGCACAAAGGAGCCAAGCAAGUGUCCAGAGCCCUUCUCUCCCCCCAGGUACUGGAAGUUGGACCCUGCUCAGGUCUAUGCUAGCGGGCCCAACGCAUGGGACACGGCUGUGCACGAUGCCUCUGAGGAGUAUAAGCACCGCAUGCACAAUCUCUGCUGUGACAACUGCCACUCGCACGUGGCAUUGGCCCUGAAUCUGAUGCGCUACAACAACAGCACCAACUGGAAUAUGGUGACGCUCUGCUUCUUCUGCCUGCUCUAUGGGAAGUACGUCAGCGUUGGGGCCUUCGUGAAGACCUGGCUGCCCUUCAUCCUUCUCCUGGGCAUCAUCCUCACCGUCAGCCUGGUCUUUAACCUCCGGUGAUGGCUGCUUGGUGGCUUCACACCCACCAGGGUCCCGAGGAAACAGCCACCAUCCCUUUUGGUUCCAGAUUUUUUUCUCCUCACCCCAAAAGGCAGGGUUGGGCCUGCUGUUGCGGACCGGGGGUCGGGGCUGGCAGGAUGGAAGGACUGAGGACCAGCAUGAGGUGGGGGUUUGUUGUCUCCCUGCCUCUCAGAAGCACCCUGUCCCCUCCUCCCCAGGCCUGUGACUCCGGUCCUGGAAGCCCCUUUGUUCUUCUGCUGAAAGGCUUUGGCUUCCCUCUGUAGAGCUGCUCCCGCCACCGCCUGCUGGGGUCCUGCCUCAGCCCAGUGCCCAGUACAGGGAGAGGAGGACAUUUGGGCUCACCUGUCAAGGUGGCCCUGGGACCAGAGCUGGAUUGGGAGCCUGUCUUUCUGCAUUAGCUCUGGUCCCAGCAUGGGGUGGGGUACACUUACGUGUCUCUAUAAGCCAAGCUGCUUCAGGACCUUCACCACUGGCCUCUAGAAUGGUCCAGAGGGGCUGGCUGAGUCCCUUUGUCAGACUUCUGCUGGCAGCCGCCCUGGGGGACAUGUGCGCCCAUCUGGCGUCCUCCAGCCCGUGCAGUCCGCUCGUCACUGUCCCACAGCCUCCCAGUGCCUCCCAGCAUUGGACCCAUCUCCCCCUGCAGUUUGAGGCCAGAGAGGUGAGUGGACCUGACAAGUGCCAGAGUAACCGUGUAGACAGAGCACUGUAGACAGCACUCAGCCCCAGCCCCAGGUGUGGACCUCACGCUGGUGAUGGCUCCCCUGGGUGGCCUGCUAUCACAGCCAGUGCCAUCAGGGAGCUGAAGGGGCUGUCCCCCACCUAACUCCAGCUCCCCCUUUCUUCACGUUGUCACCAAGGCUCUGUGCCGCCCGCCUCGCCCCCCUGCUCUGUGGAUUCCUUUGGGAAGGGCUCCCUGGGCAGGACAAUAAAGUUUUGACUCC
rnacentral:sRNA from 1 species